UUAAUGAUUUAUGAUUAAGAAAAAAAGUAAUUUUGAACAGUUAACGAUUUAUUAAGAAAAUUUGAGGAUUUAUUAGUUACAUACAAUUGCAUAAAGUUCAAUUAGGCGAGCCCAGUACGCUGGGCGUUGGGCGUGUGUAAGCCCCGAUGGCCGAGGCGUAAGUCUCACGAAAUUAAGCCCCUCACAUAAGCCCUGAGGCGUUUUACGAGUGCUCCGCCUCGGGGCGAGCCCUGGGCGAGUCCCAAUUCUGCCUUUUAAAACAGAGCUCACGAAAAUGCCUCGAUUGAAACAUCAUGGCAUGGUAACCUGGAGAGGUUGCAGCCAUGGAGGGGUAACCUUGAGAGAUUGUAGGGUACAUGAUGCGCAUCUAUAUAUGUUUUUUAUUGGAAAAUAGCGAAGUCGAGUCUGUACUGGGGCAUGGUACUAUUCUUCCACUAGACCACUUGUUCUUCUUAACAUGAUGAACAUGUAUAUUGUCCGGAAACUAGGGGUAUCAAUGGUUCGGUUCGGCCAGUUAUUUUACAAUGAGUUCCAUAUUUUUGGGAGGUUCAAAAGGUUUAGAGAGCUAUAACAUGAACCAGAAGGUCAAAUGAAAAUGGCAAAACUUUCAUUAGUUCAAGUCUGAGGCUGCUGGGUUCAGAGAGUUGUGGGGAGCUGUUUGAGUGGUUGCCCUUCUCUGUCAUUCCUAGCAGCCAAUGAUCACUCAAUAUUUCCCAAUUUCAGACCACCCUUUAGCAAAAUAAGUUCGACGAGCCGGUGAAGAUUUUCACUCUUUACUCAUCAGAUGGUUGAGCUUUGCUCUAUCUUGGCGUGGCGCUUUUGGUUGGUCUUGUGAGAUAUGGGAGCUAUUUGGUUUUCGUGUCUCACAAAGGAUUCUCAUUAAGCUUGCAGCCAUGGCGGAGUUUAGCUUAUGCCUGAGAAGAGGCUAAUCUUAGCCUCCCAAGUAUCUGUAUGUUUUCAAAGGAGGCUUUUAUGGAAGUCGAGAAAGGUUGAGAUUUUCUAAGGGUGGUUAGUCUUUUCCUCUGAAGUUCAGUAUAGCCGAUGAAUUUUCCAGUACUAUUGUUACAAAGAUAAAGAUUAACAGCCCUAUCAUCAGCUAAUGCCAAUUAUGCUCUUGAUGAUGAUGACGACGACGAUAACCAUGGUUAUGGCAAGCAAACAACAAACAACAAACAACAACAAACCCAGUGUAAUCCCACAUCCCACAUGUGGUGUCUUGGGAGGAGGGUAUACGCAGACCUUACCCCUAGAAGGUAGAUAGGCAUGGUUAUUGCAAUAAGGAAAAUACAGAUUCUGCCCCCUAAACUUGUCCCGGAGAACCUGAAUCCUUAACCCUGAACUUUGUGAAUGAGGCUAUGAUGAUAUUCUCCCGGAAGCUUGAAAAACAGAUUUUUGAGCUGAUUCGUAUCUUGGCUAGGCAAAGGCAGGGAAUUUGUGAGGUAGGUUCUUAUGUGCUUCUCACGAAGGCAUCUGCUUUUUGCAGCCUUCUUUUCUGAUAGCAGUACUAAGUAUGCCUUGCGUUCCAAUUUAUGUGAACUAAAAAUGUCCAAAUUGCUAUUGAAAAGUUUCCAUCUUUCCAAAGAGGCAGUGUUAUUAUUGUUAUCCUGAGCUGAAAUUGGAGGCAUGGAGAAAACCGACUCAUAUCUUGGCAGGGCAAACUGGGAUCAUGCAACUGAUUCAUUUUGCAGCCAUGGCAUUGUCGUCUUCUCUUUGCCCCAUUUUACACAGAUCUGAGCCUCAACCCUCAGUAGGAAGAAUGAGGCAUCAAAGAGAGAAAUGGGAUUUUCAGUAAAGGGUGGUUGCCCCCUCCCUGCCGUUUCCCUGAUUUCUUCAUUCAAUAAAGCAACAACCCUUGGGAAAAAUAGAAAAGAAAAGUAAAAUGUUUCUGCUUCUUCUGCUACAACAGCUGAUUGCACAAAUAGCCGAUUUUAUGACCCCUUACAUUUCGAAGGUGACAACUGAUUUGCACAAAUAGGAUCACUGAAAUGGACUAUGAUGAUCAUUUGCUUCUUCCUGGGUUAUCUACUUUUACAUAUGUUGAGAAAGAUCUAACCCGUAUCUUGGCAGGGCAACCCGUGUAUGGCAAUCAUUUGCAAACCGGUGUCUGCAGCCACAGCCACAGUGUGGUCCCUUUCUCUUUGCAUGUUCAUAGAAUUACAGCAAAAUAUGAGCCCUAAAGGCCCAAUUGGGUUCUUCCCUUUUUUCUUGAACACCCCAUUUCAGAUGCAGUUCAAAAAACGAGGCAAUUGGAGAAAAAAGGGGAUUUUUAAGGGUGUUUGACCAUCUCCAUCAUGCCUAUGAUUUCUUUUUUACUUUAAGCUCUAACCAACAGCCCUUUUUGUAUGUGAAAGAGGUCCAUAUUCGCACCUGUACUACAUGAAAUGGUCUACUUUUGCGCUCCUCACUUAAUAGUCGAGGGCUAAUUUUGCACUUGUGUACUUUUUCUUCUCAGGUAUCAAUACAUGAUUUCAAUCCAAAAAAGCACUUUGCUUGCUCAGUGAAUGUAGUUGAUAGAUAGACAUAUAAAUAGAAAAAAAUGAGGCUCUGAUCAUAAAGAUAGUGCUUUUAUCCAUACAUAUCAUGAGAAAAUGUCCAAAUUGAUCCUUUAUGAGGCAGUGAUGAUCUUUCAAUCUAUCCUCCUGAUUUAGUAAUUGAUCAUAGACAGUACCUGAACCGUAUCUUGGCGGGGCAAUGUCCCAGAUGCAUGUGAUAAAUUGUAACAUGCAACUGAGGGUAUUUGCAGCCAUGGCGUGGCCGGACUUUCUUAGCUUGAGCAUAAAUAUAGCUCUGAGCCUCAGUUAUUCAAAAAAAUUAGAGCACUAUAAGAUGAAGCAGAGGGUGAAAAAAGAAUGGCAAAAAUCUCAUUAGUUUAAGUCUGAGGCUGCUGGAUUCAGAGAGUUGUGGGGAGUUCUUUGAGUGGUUGCCCCUCUUUGUUAUUCUUAGCAGAUCACUGAAAGUUUCCCAAUUUCAGAACACUCUUUAGUGAAGAAGUUCAAAUAAGGCAGUGAAGAUUUUCAUUCUUUACUCAUCAGAUGGUUGAGCUUUGCUAUUUCUUGGCGUGGCAGCUUUUGGGGGUCUUGUGAGAUAUAGGAGCUAUUUUGGUUUCCGUGUCUCACAAAGGCUUCUUAAGCUUGCAGCCAUGGCGGGGUUUAGCUUAUGACUGAGAAAAGGCGAAUCUGAGCCCCUCCCAAAUGUCUGUUUGUGUUCAACGAAUGAGGCUUUUUAUGGAACUCAGAGAAAGGUUGAGAUUUUCCAAGGGUGGUUACUCUCUUCCUCUGAAGUUCAGUAUAUCCAAUGAAUUAUCCUAUACUUUUGUUACGAAGAGAGAUCAACAGCCAUUUCAUCAGCAGAAUGGCGAUUAUGAUGACGACGAUACCCAUGGUUAUGGUAAUAAUAAGGGAAAAUACAUAUUUUGCUUCCUACACUUGUUCGGAAAAACCCAAAUCCCCAAAUCCUAAACCCUGAACUUUGUGAAUGAGGCUAUGGUGAUAUUCCAGGAAGCUUGAAAGUCAAAGUUUAUAGCUGAUUCAUAUCUUGGCUAGGCAAAGGCAGCAGUAUCUGUGAGUUAAAACAGUAUGUUCUUGGGGCCCUGCUUUACCAGGCUGGGGCAACUGUUUACCAAAAACACCGGUCUCCGCAAAGUCGUGAAUAAAGGGAAUAUCUUAUCGAGUUUCAGAGGCAGUGAAGAUUAUAUACAAUGAAAUGAAAAGUGAAGAAGAUUAGAGUUGAUUCAUGGCCUGGCUUGGUGAGUCCAAUCGGAAGGUCUUUCUUAUAAGGCAACCGUAGAUUGUGGAGUCAUGGCAGUAUUACUCUGCUCUUUUUUCCUUUUCUUUUUUUGAUUAAAUAGGCGAAAAUCUGAGCCUCAUUAUUAACGUAGUUUAUGUACACUUUUUUACUAGUCUUUCUGGAAAUAGAUUUAGAUUACCUUCAUUGUGGAACCACUGAAGUCAACAGCUCCGGCUUCCAACUCUAAAUCCUAAAGAGAAAUAGGGUUUCUGGGUUGAGUACAAGCAUUUGUUAUAUUGCCAGUUCGAGUGGCUCUCAACGAUCUGGAUAAGGAUGAGUUUUCUCCUUCGGACUUAAAAUUCAGUCUUGAUUGGGUUGAUGGAAAUUGGAUCUGCCCGCAUGAAAAGUUUAUAGGCAUCCACAAAUACAAGAAGGAAAAACCAGCGUAUGUUGGACAUCCAAAAGGGGGUCGCACGCCAUAUGUUGCAUUGCCUCAGCUUCACUACUUGCAUGAGGCCUCAAAGAUGCAAUUCUCUGAUUCUUGGCUACUGAAGUUCAGAGCUAUUGCUUUGUUCUUGAAUGCUAUUUGCUAUCAACUGCACCAUAAUCUUUCUUUUUCUCACCCAAUAGUGUUGAUUAAUAUGGAUGAUAUGUCUGUUGACAAAUUUUGUGCUAAAUAUUUUGCAAUUGCUGCAGCAUCCACUGGGUGAUGAUCAUGAGGUCAACCAUAUACCGAAAUAUGGAAUGUAUUGUACAGCAAACUCUAUCUGUGAAUGAUCUUUUGUCCCGCUGGAAUGUCUUUCUCAUGGGGCGACCGAUAAUUGCAGCCAUGGCAGUGUUCCUGCUCGCGCACUUGGAUGAUCCAGUUGUACUUUACACCUACAGAGAACAAAAUCAAGUUCUGACUUUUGAAAGACCUUUAUGUGCUACCCAAGGUAUGGGCACUAAUAGCAGUAGUUUCUCCAAAGACCCCCUUUUGUCACGACCUAUCUUGAGGUCGCCCCCUUAGGCAAUGCGUAGGGUCUGCCCUACUUAUGGUACUACACUUUAAUAUAAUAUAACUAGUUAUACUUUGCAUAAAAAAAAAAAAGAACUAAUGGCAGAGGCCGUCUAAAAAAAGGAAUCAAUGAAUCAACUGCAACUCAAUUUCAA